UGGGGAAUAUUGCACAAUGGGCGAAAGCCUGAUGCAGCAACGCCGCGUGAGUGAUGAAGGCCUUCGGGUUGUAAAGCUCUGUCUUCUGGGACGAUAAUGACGGUACCAGAGGAGGAAGCCACGGCUAACUACGUGCCAGCAGCCGCGGUAAUACGUAGGUGGCAAGCGUUGUCCGGAUUUACUGGGCGUAAAGGAUGCGUAGGCGGAUACUUAAGUCAGAUGUGAAAAUCCCGGGCUUAACUUGGGAACUGCAUUUGAAACUGGGUAUCUAGAGUGCGGGAGAGGAAAGUGGAAUUCCUAGUGUAGCGGUGAAAUGCGUAGAGAUUAGGAAGAACACCAGUGGCGAAGGCGACUUUCUGGACCGUAACUGACGCUGAGGCAUGAAAGCGUGGGGAGCGAACA
rnacentral:rRNA from 1 species